rnacentral:piRNA from 1 species
UGGACUUUUGAUGCCUUUAAGCCAACGA